GGUGCAGUGGUGAAGUUGGUUAACACGACGGUCUGCAAAACCGUUAUACGCCGGUUCGAACCCGGCCUGCACCUCCA
rnacentral:tRNA from 1 species